AUACAUCAAUUAUAAACAAAGAUUAAAUAAGAAGAUUAGAACAAAGCGUCGAAACAAAGUUUAAUUAAGAAGCAAAGGAGAAAGGGCGAGGGGCGUGGGAAACUAUUAAGAAAUUGUGCUAAGCGAGAAUGGAGAAAAUGUGAAUUUGCCCAUAAAUGGUUUAGCCCAGACUUUGUAAAGAGGCCUGUGUAAUUCUAAAAUGUGAAUAAGGGUUCAAACUCGAAAUUGUUACUUUGAAAACACUCUUUUCUCACCAUUCAUCCUGUACAUGCCCAAAUUUAACCGGACCUUAAUAAACAAAGCUCAAAUUACAGAACAAACCAAACCAAAGUCUAAAUAAAAAAGUCCAUUUACAAAAAAUAUCAAACUUAAAACCCAAAAUAAAUAAAGACCUAAUGGCCCAUAUGGCCCACUAUCUUAAGCUAGCAAGAAACCUUAGCUCUCUCGACUGUUGCAGCCACCAUGUACGCCCUCGGCGCGCAUGUCGCCCGAGGGUCGGUUCCCCUGCAACCUUGCACUAAAAUAGCCACCAGCUAUUUCCAUUGACCAAGUCCGUACCUGCAAAAAACCACAAAAGCAGAAACAAGGCAGAGAAACGGCAGCAAGCAACAGUAGGCCAUAAUAGCAGAAACGAAAAUAAACAGUAGCAUACCUGUUGUAUUUGGCUAUAAAGCCACCGAAAAAGAACUAUUGUAAGGGGGAAAAACAAUAUAAAAAAUACAAAAAAAAGAGAUCAAAAUACAAAAACUGAUUCAAAGAAGAUUAAGGUGCUUUUUAUUUCUAUUUUAUUUUUAUUUAUUUUUAUCUUUUAGUUCGAAUAUAAUAGGGGUGAGAUCCGUUACCUUUAGCGCUGUGCUUGGAGCCUUCUCCGGCUUUGGAGGGGACCGAGUCGAGGAACUCGCCAAAAAACCCCAUCGGCAUUGUUAAGGAACUAAAGGGUCCCUUUAUUUUUCUUCCUUUUUUGCUGUUAUUUUUGUGUUUUGGUGGGGGAUUUGGAUUUUUGACCUUAAUUUGGAUGAGAUUAAGGAGGUUAAAUCGGUCAAAAAAGGGCUCCUUUUAGGAACUCUGGCCGCAGUAUACGGUGGCGGUCCGGCGACGGCGAUGAUGGGUUAAGAAACCCUAGCAGAGGAGAAGAAAAAGGGGGUAGGUUUUAAAAUUUUUUUUAAAUGAGUAACAAGAUGAAUUUUUAAGAAAAAAUUAGUUUUUAAUACUUGUUUGAAACGGUGCCGUUUUGAACCAAGGUCUCCAGCGCCAAAACGGCGUCGUUUAGGAUGACCCGUAUGCGACCCGACCCGCGCAAGCCAGGGUCCGCGUGUUUCCAUUAAAUAUGUUAUUUACAACCCUGGUCCCUCUAAGUUCUGUCCGUCUUGAUUUUGUC
rnacentral:lncRNA from 1 species